rnacentral:rRNA from 1 species
GAUGAACGCUGGCGGCGUGCCUAAUACAUGCAAGUCGAGCGAACAGACGAGGAGCUUGCUCCUUUGACGUUAGCGGCGGACGGGUGAGUAACACGUGGAUAACCUACCUAUAAGACUGGGAUAACUUCGGGAAACCGGAGCUAAUACCGGAUAACAUGUUGAACCGCAUGGUUCAACAGUGAAAGACGGUCUUGCUGUCACUUAUAGAUGGAUCCGCGCCGCAUUAGCUAGUUGGUAAGGUAACGGCUUACCAAGGCAACGAUGCGUAGCCGACCUGAGAGGGUGAUCGGCCACACUGGAACUGAGACACGGUCCAGACUCCUACGGGAGGCAGCAGUAGGGAAUCUUCCGCAAUGGGCGAAAGCCUGACGGAGCAACGCCGCGUGAGUGAAGAAGGUCUUCGGAUCGUAAAACUCUGUUAUUAGGGAAGAGCAAAUGUGUAAGUAACUAUGCACGUCUUGACGGUACCUAAUCAGAAAGCCACGGCUAACUACGUG